UACGGAGGGUGCGAGCGUUACCCGGAUUUACUGGGAGUAAAGGGCGUGUAGGCGGUUUUCUAAGUCCGGGGCUAAAGACCAGGGCUCAACCCUGGGUUUGCCUUGGAUACUGGAAAGGUCGACGGCUGGAGGGGGCAGCGGAAUUUCCGGAGUAGCGGUGAAAUGCGCAGAUACCGGAAGGAACGCCAAUAGCGAAGGCAGCUGUCUGGACAGUACGUGACGGUGAGGCGCGAAAGCGUGGGGAGCAAACCGG
rnacentral:rRNA from 1 species